CCUACGGGAGGCAGCAGUGGGGAAUAUUGGACAAUGGGGGAAACCCUGAUCCAGCGACGCCGCGUGAGUGAAGAAGUAUUUCGGUAUGUAAAGCUCUAUCAGCAGGAAAGAAAAUGACGGUACCUGACUAAGAAGCCCCGGCUAACUACGUGCCAGCAGCCGCGGUAAUACGUAGGGGGCAAGCGUUAUCCGGAUUUACUGGGUGUAUAGGGAGCGUAGACGGCAGCGCAAGUCUGGAGUGAAAUGCCGGGGCCCCACCCCGGAACUGCUCUGGAAACUGUGGAGCUGGAGUGCAGGAGAGGUAAGCGGAAUUCCUGGUGUAGCGGUGAAAUGCGUAGAUAUCAGGAAGAACACCGGCGGCGAAGGCGGCUUACUGGACUAUAACUGACGUUGAGGCUCGAAGGCGUGGGGAGCGAACAGGAUUAGAUACCCGAGUAGUC
rnacentral:rRNA from 1 species